rnacentral:rRNA from 1 species
UGGGGAAUUUUGGACAAUGGGCGAAAGCCUGAUCCAGCAAUGCCGCGUGUGUGAAGAAGGCCUUCGGGUUGUAAAGCACUUUUGUCCGGAAAGAAAUCCUUGGCUCUAAUACAGUCGGGGGAUGACGGUACCGGAAGAAUAAGCACCGGCUAACUACGUGCCAGCAGCCGCGGUAAUACGUAGGGUGCAAGCGUUAAUCGGAAUUACUGGGCGUAAAGCGUGCGCAGGCGGUUUGCUAAGACCGAUGUGAAAUCCCCGGGCUCAACCUGGGAACUGCAUUGGUGACUGGCAGGCUAGAGUAUGGCAGAGGGGGGUAGAAUUCUACGUGUAGCAGUGAAAUGCGUAGAGAUGUGGAGGAAUACCGAUGGCGAAGGCAGCCCCCUGGGCCAAUACUGACGCUCAUGCACGAAAGCGUGGGGAGCAAACAGGAUUAGAUACCCUGGUAGUCCACGCCCUAAACGAUGUCAACUAGUUGUUGGGGAUUCAUUUCCUUAGUAACGUAGCUAACGCGUGAAGUUGACCGCCUGGGGAGUACGGUCGCAAGAUUAAAACUCAAAUGAAUUGACGGGGUCAUAGCUGUUUCCU